rnacentral:rRNA from 1 species
GACGAACGCUGGCGGCGUGCUUAACACAUGCAAGUCGAACGAAGUGGCGAACGGGUGAGUAACGCGUAAUCACCCUGCCCUUCAGAGGGGGACAACAGUUGGCAAAGACUGCUAAUACCGCAUACUGAAGGAGGGGAUUGCGGCUGAUUAGCUAGUUGGCGAGGUAACGGCCCACAAAGGCGAUGGUCAGUAGCGGGUCUGAGAGGAGGAACGGCAACAUUGGGACUGAGACACGGCCCAGACUCCGACGGGAGGCAGCAGUGGGGAAUCGUCCGCAAUGGACGAAAGUCUGACGGAGCAACGCAGCGUGAGUGAUGACGGCCUUCGGGUUGUAAAGCACUGUUAGUCGGGACGCGGUACCGGAAUAGAAAGCCACGGCUAACUACGUGCCAGCAGCCGCGGUAAUUC